rnacentral:rRNA from 1 species
GAUGAACGCUGGCGGCGUGCCUAAUACAUGCAAGUCGAGCGAACGGACGAGAAGCUUGCUUCUCUGAUGUUAGCGGCGGACGGGUGAGUAACACGUGGAUAACCUACCUAUAAGACUGAGAUAACUUCGGGAAACCGGAGCUAAUACCGGAUAAUAUUUUGAACCGCAUGGUUCAAAAGUGAAAGACGGUCUUGCUGUCACUUAUAGAUGGAUCCGCGCUGCAUUAGCUAGUUGGUAAGGUAACGGCUUACCAAGGCAACGAUGCAUAGCCGACCUGAGAGGGUGAUCGGCCACACUGGAACUGAGACACGGUCCAGACUCCUACGGGAGGCAGCAGUAGGGAAUCUUCCGCAAUGGGCGAAAGCCUGACGGAGCAACGCCGCGUGAGUGAUGAAGGUCUUCGGAUCGUAAAACUCUGUUAUUAGGGAAGAACAUAUGUGUAAGUAACUGUGCACAUCUUGACGGUACCUAAUCAGAAGGCCACGGCUAACUACGUG